AUUGAACGCUGGCGGCAGGCCUAACACAUGCAAGUCGAGCGGAAACGACAUCUUCGGAUGGGCGUCGAGCGGCGGACGGGUGAGUAAUGCGUAGAAAUCUGCCCUUUUGUGGAGGAUAACCUGGGGAAACUCAGGCUAAUACUGCAUAAUCUCUACGGAGCAAAGCGGGGGAUCUUCGGACCUCGCGCAGAAGGAUGAGUCUACGUCUGAUUAGCUAGUUGGUGGGGUAAUGGCCUACCAAGGCGACGAUCAGUAGCUGGUCUGAGAGGAUGAUCAGCCACACCGGGACUGAGACACGGCCCGG
rnacentral:rRNA from 1 species